UACGUAGGGGGCAAGCGUUGUCCGGAUUUAUUGGGCGUAAAGAGCGUGUAGGCGGCCAGAAAAGUCCGCUGUGAAAACUCGAGGCUCAACUUCGAGCUGUCGGUGGAAACUUUCUGGCUAGAGUCCGGAAGAGGAGAAUGGAAUUCCUGGUGUAGCGGUGAAAUGCGCAGAUAUCAGGAAGAACACCGGUGGCGAAGGCGGUUCUCUGGGCAUUACCUGACGCUGGAGGAGCGAAAGCGUGGGGAGCAAACAGG
rnacentral:rRNA from 1 species